GUAAAUGGUGUGACCUUCAGGUGUUUGGGGUAUUGGCUAGUUCCCUUCCAGUUUGAACAUCCCUUAUUGCUGGUUUCCUAAAGUCUUCUGAUAUCCCUGCUCUGUUUGUAGUUUGCUAGGAUUGAGGCGUCCGCAGUGUUGGAUCCCAAAUUUACCUAUGUAUGGAGUUUUGACUUUUCUAACUGAUUUUCUAAUUUCUUUAUACCUGGGCCAUGGGAACCUCUGAGAACAUUACCUUAUAGAUUGGAUUGAGCAAAGAAAUUAUAAUUUAAGGUACUAAUUUUCAUUUUCUGUCCUCAGUAUCUGUGAGCGGGUAACUCCUCGGCUAUCUCACGCCAACUCAGCAGUGGUGCUUUCAGCAGUAAAAGUCCUAAUGAAAUUUCUAGAGUUGUUACCCAAGGACUCCGACUACUACAAUAUGCUGCUGAAGAAGUUGGCCCCUCCACUUGUCACUUUGCUGUCUGGGGAGCCCGAGGUGCAGUACGUCGCCCUGAGGAACAUCAACCUGAUCAUCCAGAAAAGGCCUGAAAUCUUGAAGCAGAUCAAAGUUUUCUUUGUGACGUACAAUGAUCCCAUCUAUGUGAAACUAGAGAAAUUGGACAUCAUGCUUCGUUUGGCAUCCCAAGCCAACAUUGCUUAGGUUCUGGCAGAACUGAAGGAAUAUGCCACAGAGGUGGAUGUCGACUUUGUGCGCAGAGCCGUGCGGGCCAUUGGACGGUGUGCCAUCAAGGUGGAGGCAAGUGUCCCAUGGUAGUUGU